AAGCUUGGAGGAAAUUUCGACAGCUGGGUAAACUCCCCAGACUCCUUACGUGAACUACUAUUUCGUCAGAUGCCAUAAAAAGGCGAACAGUUCCUUCUAACAACGCACGUGCAGAUGGACCAAUAAUGUCCAGUCUCCACUGAUCUCUAUGACAAAGGGACGGAAAAUCCCAUUGGAAAUGAUGAAAAUAAAAGUUGGCUGCAGCACAGUUCCCAAGAGGUAGGCAUGAGACCUCAUAUUCUGCUGGAUUUACUGCAAAAACAACUUUAGCGGUACGUAAGAUUUCACAAGUUCACGCCCUUGCAAGUGAUUGAAGGGUUGGCAACUUGUACCGGGAAAUUCCCUGGAGGAGGUGUUGUGGUUUCGCCACGUGGCAAAUGUACUGACGAUUGCCAGUAGUGGUGGGCUAAAAUGCGAUUUUCCGAUAUCAGUGAUUUCUGUGAAUGCUGCUUUUCAGUAUCUGUUAUUCUUAACUGUGAUUUGUCGCAGUUAAGAGUCGGAGUUAAGGAACAUAUGUCGUGUAUCCCUACGCCACUGCUAUUUCUGCGAUUUCUGCUACUUUCGCGAUUUCUGCGAUUUCUGUGACUCCUGCCAUUUCUGCGACUUACCACCGUAUGAAAAAGUUACAUCUGUCCACACAGAAAAUGGCAACUCAACAAACCUAUCAUUGGUCCCUGAACUACAUUUCAGUCACCCAGUAAAGUGAUAACUCAAAAUAUCAUUGUCAACAGAUCUGAAGAAAUUGCCACUGCGUCUUUAGACCGUUUUCGUCAGACGAGAGAUGCAGUUCUGAGUCUGAUUACUGGUUGCUGUACGUAUCUAUCCACAUCAAGGCUGUUGAGAGAGACUCGCGAAGAUUCAAGACUGCUCAUAGAGGAUUUGCAGUUUACAAGUGAAAUAAUUGUGAAAUAAGUGUGUGUGUGAUUAAACUGUGUUUUGUUGAAGUUGUUAUGUGAUUUUAA